ensembl:lncRNA novel transcript
GAACUCGCGGCGGGGCUGCUGGGUCUUCCAGGAGCGCGCUUGAGCGGACGCUGCCUACCGGUGGCCGGGCGGGAUGUAACCCGCUGCUGAGCUGGCAGCUCUGUGUCGCUAGGCUUCGGCCCGGCCGCCGCCGCACAUAAGCUGCGAGGAGGAGCUUUACGACUUCCCGGUCUUCGGGGCCGGGCGCAGCAAGGGCCAGACUCUGCGCUAGCAGGCGCUGCGCGCCAACCGGCCGGCACCUGUCGCAGAAGGUGCAACCGAUCGCACUGUCGCGCCGAAGCUCCUCAAUGGCCAGCGCCAGCUGCAGCCCCGGCCGCCCACUCGCCUCACCUGAGCCUGGGAGCUUGAAAAAUCACAUUUGAGAAGAGGAUUGGAUCCUAGCCAUAACAUAAAUAUAAGGGUGGAACCAAAGUUUUAAUCAAAGAAGGUGGUGUUCAGUUGCUGCUUACAAUAGUUGAUACCCCAGGAUUUGGAGAUGCAGUGGAUAACAGUAAUUGCUGGCAGCCUGUUAUCAAUUACAUUGAUAUUAAAUUUGAGGACUACCUAAAUGCAGAAUCGCGAGUGAACAGAUGUCAGAUGCCUGGUAACAGGGUGCAGUGUUGUUUAUACUUCAUUGCUCCUUCAGGACAUGGACCAUUACAUAACUGAAGACUCCCACCUUCAGGCAGGAUUGGGUAGUACGUGUUUGUAACUACCUGGCAUUGCCUUUUGUUGAGGAAGGGUAGAUGUCUACCCAAAUGGAAUAUUGAGUAUCAGAGACUUCAAAUGAUAACUUUUGUUUGUUUGGAGAAAAUCUUGAGGACGUGAUCACUGUACAAAAGCAUGGCAAAAUGAGGAAACCACUGACAGGUGAAGAAUUUGCACAAUGGAAAACCACCUUGACCAUCUCAUGACUUUAUACAGGAAUCGGAGUGAGUUGGACUAUGGAUCAGGUACUGUGCUCAGCAUCAGAAAAUGGGAUGACAAUGAACAGAGUAACAGGACUAUAUUUCUGAAAAAGGAUGAACUUACUGGAAACAGGAUUGCGUGCCUGAAAUAUAUCCAAAUGGAUAUAAAUGUCAACUCAGUUCUGGGCUGGAGAUAUAGAUUUGGAAUGCACCAACAAUGCAGAUGGUAAUCCUGGCAUGCGAGUAGGUGAGAUCAUCCAGGGAGAUGGCCUAUAAUGAGAGCCUACAACAUGUCAGGGCUCAAGCACCUCUUACUGCCUCCUCACUCUGGAACCAAAUGCCUUACUGUCUGCACUGCUCCCCAUUGCCUUCCCUCCCGCCUCACCAGUUGAUCCCUAUACCUCCUUCCCAAUGACCUCCAGGAGGCCUCUAACUUACAGGUGAGGCAGGCAUUUUUCUAUUCCCUUAACAUGACCAGUUGGUGUAUCAUGGUAAAUUUUAUUUCUCUCUCUCUUUCUAGACUGUCAGUAUCUUGGGCUUAGAGUUUUAUUUAUUUUUUUCAGCUCCACUUCAGCUGGCAAAACGCCUAGCAUAUAGUAGGAACUAAAAAAAUGUUUUCCGAAUUAAUGAAAGAAUGUAGAAUUGCAGCUCUGACUGUAACUAGUUUCCCAUGAAGACUAUAAUAGUCUAUUAUCCUUUAUUUUUCCUGGAGCACAAAAGGAUUUCAUAGAGUCUGGAAGACGGUUGCACAUUAAGCCCCUUUACCACCAUCAAUGUUCACUUUCUUUACUUUUCAUACUAUAAAUGAUCUGGACUCUCCUUUUUGCUCUUUUUGUUUGUUUAUCUACUUUAAACAGUAAAGACAUCUACAUGCUUAUCUAUUUGCAAUAGUGCUGCAGAAGUUACUUUAUCAAUUAUUCCAUAGUCAAGGGAAACUUUAGACAAGAUAUAAUGAAUUUGGACACUGCAAGUAAAAGCCAUAUACUAAAUGGCAAUCAGCGUUCAUUAUCUUAAAUGUAUAUAUCCUGUGUGUGGCAAAAAACAAGAACAAAAA